GUCCUUUAGAUGAAUAAUUUAAGGUCUAAUCUGCCCACUGAUUAAUUAAAUGGCCGCAGUAAUUUGACUGUGCAAAGGUAGCAUAAUCAUUAGUUUUUUAAUUAAAAGCUUGUAUGAAUGAUUGGACGAGAUAAAAUCUGUCUCUUAAUUAAUAUUAGAAUUUAAUUUUUAAGUUAAAAAGCUUAAAUUUUUAUAAAAGACGAGAAGACCCUAUAGAUCUUUAUUAAUUUUUUUUUUAAUUUAUAUAAUGAUUAUUUUAUUUAUUAUAAAAUUGUUAAUUUUAUUGGGGUAAUAAAAAGAUUAAAAAAAUUCUUUUUUAUUUAAACAAUGAUAAUUGAUUAUAUGAUCCAUAUAUAAUGAUUAUAAGAUUAAGUUACCUUAGGGAUAACAGCGUAAUUUUUUUAAAGAGUUCAUAUCGAUAAAAAAGUUUGCGACCUCGAUGUUGGAUUAAAAAUUAUCCUAGGUGCAGAAGUUUGGGAUUUUGGUCUGUUCGACCAUUAAAUUUUU
rnacentral:rRNA from 1 species